GUGGGGAAUAUUGGACAAUGGGCGAAAGCCUGAUCCAGCCAUGCCGCGUGUGUGAAGAAGGUCUUCGGAUUGUAAAGCACUUUAAGUUGGGAGGAAGGGCAUUAACCUAAUACGUUAGUGUUUUGACGUUACCGACAGAAUAAGCACCGGCUAACUUCGUGCCAGCAGCCGCGGUAAUACGAAGGGUGCAAGCGUUAAUCGGAAUUACUGGGCGUAAAGCGCGCGUAGGUGGUUCGUUAAGUUGGAUGUGAAAGCCCCGGGCUCAACCUGGGAACUGCAUCAAAAACUGGCGAGCUAGAGUACGGUAGAGGGUGGUGGAAUUUCCUGUGUAGCGGUGAAAUGCGUAGAUAUAGGAAGGAACACCAGUGGCGAAGGCGACCACCUGGACUGAUACUGACACUGAGGUGCGAAAGCGUGGGGAGCAAACAGGAUUAGAUACCCCUGUAGUCC
rnacentral:rRNA from 1 species